ensembl:lncRNA
UAUAUAUAUAUAUAUAGUGGAGUAUGAAGUACAAUAUUAAUCUCUGAAAUGUAUUGGUGAUGAAGUGUAAAGUAAAUGUGUAAAUAUACUUACAUGUAGUUACUUUCCACCACAGAACUGCUCCUCUCGUACUCCUGUUUGUGUGUGUGUAUUCAGAGCACUGACUGAAGCUAACGAUGUCAGCUUUUGCAUCCAUGCUCUCAUACAUCUCCGUGCAGCCUCGUAGAUUGCCUCCCCAUCUACUUGCAAUCUUGCCUUUGUAAUUUCUCCCUGUAAUGAAAGUUUCUGCCCAUCAAUGGCUGAAAAUGAUUCUGGAAAUGUUAAUAAGGGUGCGUGAUUACAUUCUAUCAGAGCUGAGAUUAAAUGAGGGAACGCCGAGGUGUGUGCAGGAGCAAAAACUAACAGCGUGCGUCAACGAUUUGGAUUUCCCUAUCCAAACUUGUCCCGCCCACUGUUAUCAAUCGCACACAGACAUUGGUAUAUGAUGCAAUCAGGAUGCAGAAGUCCAAUCUGCCUCCAGCAUGCUACAUCUACUGAUAAAGCUGCUGGAAAAAGCAUGUCGGCCCAGAAGCUCACAUACACCUCCCUUGGUGUCGCUGUAAGAUUUGUUUGUAACGCCAUGCUCGACCCGUGACAUUACGUCUGAGGAAAACGAACCCCAGCGCAGACAGUGACCAUUAUACCGCAAAAACACCGGCUUCAAUGAGGUGCAUUGAAUAGGUGCACCCAAUACAUUGAGCCAUCAGGAGACAGGUUCAUCAGAGAUAAAGCGAGUGUGCGUGAGUGUGUGUGUGUUGUCACACAUGUGCAUCAGCAUUCCCGCGGAGAGACGGCCCGCAGAUUGUAGGAUGAAGAUAUUCCUAGCGAUACAGAUAAGAAAUAUUUCCUGUAAUGGUGAUAAAAUGAAUUGGACUGACUGGACAGGACGAAAGUCUCUCAUAUAAAUGCCAUUUCGUAGAGACUUCUUUCUUCGUCUCCCGGUGUCUAUGUGCCAGGUGGAUCCAAAGUCAUCCCUCUCUCGCACUUUCAUUUUUGUUUCAAUCCCUUGUCUCGUCUAAUCUUCUCAUCACUCUAUUUUUCCCUUUGGCGUAUAUAAACAGUCACACACACACACACAUAAGCACACACGCACCAUCUCUUUGUCUCCCCAGGUGUGCGCUGGUCCAGGUGUACGUCUUCACGGGAGCUCAUCACUGCUCUAAUGAGAAUGAUCACCGCUCAUCUGUCUUCAUCCACAUCCAACAGAGAGCACCUGCUACUGUGCGUGUGAGCGUGUGGAUUAGAUUUUUGGGGUGUUUGUGAAAAUAUAUAACAGUGCAUACACAGGUGAUGUGUGUACGAUGUGGGUUAUUAGUUACGUGUAAAGACAAACUGAAAGGUGGCUCUUGUAUACAGCUAAUAGGCUUUUUGACUUUCAACGCCCCUUUAAGUGUCAACUUAUUUAACUCCCACUGAAAUAACGACUUUUGCACAAGAGCCUUUGUUUGAGAGUCUUUGAAUGAUCGCUAAGGCGCUGUGAAUCUCUCAACAGGAGCGAAGCUGUUUUGAUUCAAACCCCCCUACAGCUCUCUUCUGUCGUCUGCAUCUGUCAGCCGUAGGGGUUCGAUAUUAAAAGGAACAGAUGACUUGAUCAAACCACGAGCAGUGAAAAACAUUCAAACAACUUGUUGUACCUGUAUGAGGGCUGUGAAUGCGUCAACUGUUCCGCAACUGUUAAGUGGCCUACUUACCAUUACAGCAUGUUGCAGUACGACAGACAACACUGUGGUGUUAUUCAUAUUUCAUGCUUUCUUAUUCAUGUGAAAGGGAAUUCUAGUAAUAAACGCCGAGAGAAACUUCCCCUAACUGGGCGCGUUUCAUCACCUUGCAGCUCGUAUUUUCAGGUUGAACGCGCAGACUCCACACAGAAAGGCUGCUCGGCGGAGUGGAAUCCAGGACCUUCUUGAUGUGAGGCGAUAGCGCUAAUCGCCACACCGCCGUGCCACCCCCAACGACAUUUCCCCGGUGCUUGAAAUCUUGACGCGCUAGGUACCCCUCUACGGCGAGUUUAGACAGUGUCUUGUCAAAAUAAAAUUCCAACAGUGAAGCGAGGUUAGAAUUCAGAUGGACCCACACGUGACUCUAAAUCUAAUGUUGUUCAAUAUCUGCAGAAAAUGUAAAAUGUCAGCUGUUCCCUAAAUCCAUCCUCACUUAUAACUUUCUAAAGUGCUCACAUUUGUUAUGGUCUGUUCAAAUUUGUUUAUGCUAGAUCUAAGAUAUAUCCAUCCUCAGCCUCUCUGUCCUCAUGUCAAAUGCUUGAUAUUGACAUUUUAGGAACUUCGUCAUGAAGUAUCCUCAAAGUGUAUGUCGGUGUGGGUGUGUCCGUGCAUGUGUGUGUGUGUGUGUCUGUUUGGCGUCGUGGCGCAGGGGGUAGAGAGGGUGUGCUGGGAACCACAAGGUUGGUGGCAGUCCUGGCUGCCCCAUGUCGAAGUGUCCCUGAGCAAGACACCUAACCCCGAAUUGCUCCCCGGGCAAAAUGUAAGAGCCAUGGGUUAAAAAAUAAAAAAAAAGGUGAUGUAAGUCGCUUUGGAUAAAAGCGUCAGCUAAAUGACCUGUAAUGUAAAAAAUGUAAUGUUUGUUUAAUUCAUAGUUACAAUUGUAAUGAUCAAAUCUGCUCUUCUACAUGGGCUCUUUUUUGAGGCCUGUAUUUGAAAAUAUGUUUAUUUAAAACCAAGCCAGGAGAGACACAAAAACAAUAGAUAUUGUAUUUACCCAACCAAAGGCUGCAUCAAUUGGCUGUUGUCAAAGUCUAAGUAGAUCUUAUGUAAAACUCCCAAUCCAUGCAGUUUGUAUUGACCAAACGACAAAAUGCUUGUUCAUUUUUUCCUCAAUCCAAUUAGUUUUCUUGUGGCUUCCUGACAGCUCGUUUAUAUCUGUGAGUGAGUGCCCAGUACUGAAUGGGUAAUUGUUCAGUUAGUGUGUGCCUAUAAAUGUGUAGAGAAUCUUGUUACCUGAGUUUGCAUGGGAAUACAAACUGAAUUGAUUUGGAUCUGAGAUUAAUAGGGGGACAUUGUGAUGGAUUAUUGAUUAAUUUCUAUGAUCAAAUGAAAUCAAAGCUGAUUCAUGCAGCGCCCGGAGCAGGAGUCUCCGAUUGUUUUCUCUGCUUUGUUUCUCUGUUUAAGGUACUGACUUUCUUGUCCAGAUGCAAAAGUUCAAGGAACAAACGUAGAGGGCUGUUUGUGGAUUACAUGAGGUAGGCUGUAUUUACAAGCUUGGCUGCACUCUGUAACAUUGUUAAAGGUG